rnacentral:rRNA from 1 species
AUGAACCAUAAUGAGAAGAAGAACAUGCCAAAAGAUAGAUUGAGCAGCAGCAAGAAGGUGAAGCACCAGGGAGAUGCACAUGGCAUGCCGGAAAGGUUGGGUGACCUCGGCCAGCGUUGGCUGUCCUUGCUGGCGACCUUGCCGUCUCCAACCCACCUGCAGAGUGGUUUCACCAGCUUUGGAUGCAAGGUCUCAAAAGUUAUGUUGUUCCUGGAUUAUAUCUUGUUGCUAGCUGCUUUACUUUUUGUCUUUGCUUGGCCUGCAUUAUUGAUGGGGUGUAAUUUCGGUGCUGGUCUUUCAAUAAUUUUGGUAGGUCAGUGUGUGCUUUUGGUGUCUGCCCAAAUCCGAACUGCGCGUGGGGGCGGGUGUUCUCAUCCAGGCCUGGGCGUCCUUGCCGGCGACUACUUGCUGUCUAACCCAUCCACAGGUGUACCAACUCAUUUCCGUCUCUUCGAUUUUCCUGUCCAAGUCCAUGCUUUGGUUUAUCUUAGUUGGCGUGAGAGCAUAUGGGAGAUCCAAUUUCAUCGUCCACCUGGGAUGCCAAAACAGUUCCUUCUGAUGCAGGCUGGGUCAGCCGUGCCAAUGUGCGAGAAGCAUUCGCCAAUCGCCGCGUGUUUGAUGUACAGGACGUGGGAAAACCCUGGAUGCCAUUCCCCUCUUGUCUAUGAACACCAGAGAAGGGAUAUGUUGUUGUACAUGAGAGGGCCUAGGAGGGUAAUUCUAACAAGUGGUGCUCUAAUAUUCACUUAUUCAGUUGCGUUCUGGAAUGACCUCUUUUUGCUUCCUAUUAGGGACAGAAAAGACAUUUGUCGUGGCGCUGCAAGUGUUGCCCCCCUCCUCCCCAAGGGCAAGGUGAAGGAAGGUGCCUGUGUGGUUCUUCUACAGUUCGGAGCAAGGAUUGCUGUGUCCAACCUGCACAAGAAUGCCAAGAAAUCCUUCUCGGAGAUGAUUAAGGACAUGUACCUGCACUACAGCGAGAGAUCUGGGCUGCUUCUUUUCCAUGAUCGGGGCAUUGUUGGCAUCGCUGCCCCGUGCACGCUGGUUGUCAAGAAGUUCCAGAGCAUGAACCCAGCAGCACCGCAGGUAGACGACAAUGUCAAGUACCGCUACAGGUCUGAGAUGGUCAUGCUAGUCAGCAAUUCUCAUGGUAACAUCAUCAGAGUCGUAGACCUCAUCGAGAGGGAAGACGCGAUCAUACUUGUUUAUGAGUACCCGGUGAACGGCAGCCUCCAAUCCUGGCUGCACCAGCAGAUGGAUGCCGGUCAGCCGCUGAGCUGGCCGGAGAGAAGGGCCAUCGCCAUUGACGUGGCCCAAGGGAUCCGUCACUUGCACCACCGUUGCCACAAGCCCAUUGUCCAGCACAACAUCAGCCCUAACAAUAUCUUCCUUGAUCAGAAUUUCAAGCCAGUGAUAACAGGUUUUGACGCUGCACAGAUGAGCAUGGCCGGGCUCGGCCAACCGCUGCCAAUCAUGGCGGACCUGCCUCCUGGUAACUUCGGGUAUGCAGCUCCAGAAUAUGGGAACACGGCAAGCCCUAUGACAGAGAAGGUCGACACCUACAGCUUUGGUGUGCUGCUGCUGGCACUCGUCACAGGGCGGGAGGCCAAUGGAGCUGGAGCGAAUGGUCAUUUGGCGGCUUGGGCGCACAACUUCACUGAAUUGUUGGCAGAACAACUGGAAUGUUUCGAGAGUUCCGUGGACAAGUGCAUCCCAGACCAUGUUCAGGCUGGGCGUGGAUUGCACCGUUGUGGAUCCGAAGCAAAGGCCAUCCAUGCGGAUGGCUCUCAAACGACUAUGCCGCGGCUGUGGGCGUGGCCCAUUCCGUGGCCUCUUCUGCUGCUACUUGCUGUGAUGCAUAAUCCGCGUCCUCGCCUCCUCCUCCAUCCGCGCCGCGUCCUCGCCUCCUCCUCCAUCCGCGCCGCGUCCUCGCCUCCUCCUCCAUCCUCGCGCCGCCUCCUCGCCUCCUCUUCCAUCCGCGCGCCGCCUCCUCGCCUCCUCCAUCCGCGCGCCUCGGCGGUGACCCCAUGGAGGGCGGCCGGGUCGGAGCGGUCCCCCGCGUCCCUCCUUCCCCGCUCGGCGAGCUGCCCGUUCUCCCCCGACGACCGGCGCAGGAGAGAGAAAGAGGAGAGGGAUGUGUGGCGGCGGACGGGAGAGGGUCGACCUCGUGGUCGGUGGCUGCUUGAUCUGAGAGAAAGAGGAGAGGAAGGUGUGGCGGCGGACGGGGGAGGGCCGACGUCGCGGUCAGUGGCGGCUCGAUCUCUACAAGAAAGAAGGGGUUUGAACUCCUCCCCUGUUGGAGAAGUGUCGCCGGCCAUGACUGAUGGUUGUUGCUCACCGGCCGUCGUCCCCUGUACCCAAUCCAGGUUGCACGUCCUCACACCGCCCACCCCCCUACCUCUUGAUCCCCCCAGUUCUCUGGUUUUGUCUAUCAAGAACUACAUAUGCUGGUGCCUAUGCGAGCUACAUUGGAAGAAUCCAUCAUUUGAAGAGUCCAUAUUGGGUGGACGAGGAGAUGCAACAGCAGCAGGCUCGUGCAUCACCGCAUGCUACGGAUUCAUGCCUGUACCAUUUAGGAGGAGACAGGAUGGCAGCAGGUCCGCGCAUCGGCGCCAGCCGCAGGUUGACUGGCCGGCAUCAGCUCAGGGGCGUGAUGUGGGUAGCCUGCAGAAUCACGCCCACGCCGCAUCCUCGCGAGGUGCUCACCGUGCCCUACAUCUCUGUAGGCGCACGUCGGGCAGGAGCUUAGCCCCAUGUUAUUGCUCAAGAGACCAUACAUGGCACAGGGUCAUGCAUCGUGAGCUAGCGUUGGAGGACAGCCUUACUGAAAAUACAUUGUUCCACAGCCGGUCGAUCCCCCCGAACGUCUUUAAGGUUUCCGUGGCCAGUGUCAAACCGGGCCACGAGAAUUUGCCUCCUCUAAUACUAGUGGGGGAUGACGACGAGAACCCGCAGCGGCUUGGUGAUUGUUGCAAUGGGUGGGUCCUGUUGUGGCCAAAGAGUCUGCUUUGUCUGGAGGCGGCCGGGAGCACACCCACGAGCACGCAGCCUCAGCAAGGUAUGAACAUCAACACCCCACCUACCCAAUUAGCGUCGGGUGUCGGGUUGGGUGAUAGCGGACGGGGUAAGCAGGUGGCUCCAUUAGAGGCUGAUGACGUCGCCAUGGAUGAGGAUGAGGAUGACGAUGGCACUGAACAGUAUGUCUAUACUGGCGCCUCCUCAGGGUUUGAGCAUCAUGAGUCGGUGCCUGAAUUACCGUCUCAACGUGUUAUUGACGACCAUCCGGUGGUAAAGAAGCCUAGGAAGAGAGCGAGGAAAGGCAAAAAAGCUGAUUCUAUGAUCCAGCUGCCUCAGUAG